rfam:Salmo salar isolate Sally breed double haploid chromosome ssa09, whole genome shotgun sequence.
AUUUGAUUGAAAUGUAAGUCGCUCUGGAUAAGAGCGUCUGCUGAAUUACUAAAA